rnacentral:rRNA from 1 species
GACGAACGCUGGCGGCGUGCUUAACACAUGCAAGUCGAACGGUAAGGCCCUUCGGGGUACACGAGUGGCGAACGGGUGAGUAACACGUGGUUGAUCUGCCCUGCACUUCGGGAUAAGCCUGGGAAACUAGGUCUAAUACCGGAUAGGACCACUGCCUGCAUGGGGGGUGGUGGAAAGCUUUUGCGGUGUGGGAUGGGCCCGCGGCAUAUCAGCUUGUUGGUGGGGUGAUGGCCUACCAAGGCGACGACGGGUAGCCGGCCUGAGAGGGUGACCGGCCACACUGGGACUGAGAUACGGCCCAGACUCCUACGGGAGGCAGCAGUGGGGAAUAUUGCACAAUGGGCGCAAGCCUGAUGCAGCGACGCCGCGUGAGGGAUGACGGCCUUCGAGUUGUAAACCUCUUUCAGCACCGACGAAGCGCAAGUGACGGUAGGUGCAGAAGAAGGACCGGCCAACUACGUGCCAGCAGCCGCAGUAA